CUCGCUCUAGCUCAACUGGAAGAGCGCCGGUCUACGAAGCCGGAGGUUGCGGGUUCGACUCCUGCGGGCGAGGCCA
rnacentral:tRNA from 1 species